rnacentral:misc_RNA from 1 species
UCCAGCUUAUCGCUGGCGGUCUCCUGCGAGUGCCGCCUUGCGGCAUGGCAACACAGGACAAGGGUUGCGCUCGUUGCGGGACUUAACCCAACAUCUCACGACACGAGCUGACGACAGCCAUGCAGCACCUCGACUGGACCCCCUUGCGGGGUAUAAGUGUUUCCACCUACGUUGACCAGCCGUUCGAGCCCAGGUAAGGUUCUUCGCGUUGCGUCGAAUUAAACCACAUGCUCCACCGCUUGUGCGGGCCCCCGUCAAUUCCUUUGAGUUUCAGCCUUGCGACUGUACUCCCCAGGCGGCAUAUUUAACGCGUUAGCUCCGGCACGGACAGAAUGAACUGCCCACACCAAAUAUGCAUCGUUUAGGGCGUGGACUAC